UCUCGUGAAUGAUGAGAAUAAUAAUUUUACAGUUAUCCCUGGCUGAUCUAGCAGCUGCUGAAAAUUUAUAAUCUGACACGCUA